rnacentral:rRNA from 1 species
AUGAAGCUGGAAUCGCUAGUAAUCGCGAAUCAGAAUGUCGCGGUGAAUACGUUCCCGGGUCUUGUACACACCGCCCGUCACACCAUGGGAGUCGGAUAUGCCCGAAGUCAGUGACCCAACCAUAUGGAGGGAGCUGCCGAAGGUGGAGCCGAUAACUGGGUGAAGUCGUAACAAGGUAGC